rnacentral:rRNA from 1 species
GACAGAGGAGCCAAGCGUUGUCCGGAUUGACUGGGCGUAAAGCGCACGCAGGCGGAUGCGCGCGUGGGGUGUGAAAUCUGGCCGCUUAACGGCCAGGCGCCAUCCCAUACGGCGCGUCUGGAGUGAUGCAGAGGUCGAUGGAAUUGCCGGUGUAGUGGUGAAAUGCGUAGAGAUCGGCAGGAACACCCAGGGGGAAACCAGC